rnacentral:lncRNA from 1 species
ACCAACAAAGACAAGAAACAGAUGUACUCUUCAACAAGUCAAAGGUACAUGUUUGAAGGAGAGUCGUGAAAAAAGUGAUAAAGGUUGCAAGGCACAGGAGAAGAUGGGUGAUGUCAAGCACAAAAAGUGACAUGAAACCUGUUGUCUGUGACUCUCAACAUGUUAUCAACUGCAUAAUUAGAGAAAUGGUAACUGACAGGUUAACAGAUGGAAAACCCUGCUGCUCUGCUUUAAGGCAUCCAAGCACAGUAGAGGUGGCUGUCAUAACCUUGGACAACAGGCUGUUCCCAUCCAAUCGCAUCAGCCAGCUUGCCUAUGCAGGAAGAAAUAGUAACAGGAGAUGCAAGGUGCUAAGACAAGCAAAUGACAUUAGCUAAAAUGCUGCAGUUGCAGGAACUAGUAAGAUCAGAAGACAUUUCAGCUGCAGAAAAAGAUGAAAAGAAGUAUACAAAAUAAUAAACACAACAGACAAAGAUCA